AGAACGAACGCUGGCGGCAUGCCUAACACAUGCAAGUCGAACGAGACCUUCGGGUUUAGUGGCGCACGGGUGCGUAACGCGUGGGAAUCUGCCCUUGGGUUCGGAAUAACAGUUGGAAACGACUGCUAAUACCGGAUGAUGACGUAAGUCCAAAGAUUUAUCGCCCAGGGAUGAGCCCGCGUAGGAUUAGCUAGUUGGUGAGGUAAAGGCUCACCAAGGCGACGAUCCUUAGCUGGUCUGAGAGGAUGAUCAGCCACACUGGGACUGAGACACGGCCCAGACUCCUACGGGAGGCAGCAGUGGGGAAUAUUGGACAAUGGGCGCAAGCCUGAUCCAGCAAUGCCGCGUGUGUGAAGAAGCUUCGGGUUGUAAGCA
rnacentral:rRNA from 1 species